GUGAACGCUGGCGGCGUGCUUAACACAUGCAAGUCGAACGGUAACAGGAAGUAGCUUGCUACUUUGCUGACGAGUGGCGCACGGGUGAGUAUACUAUAGUUAAUGUGCCUCGAAGACUGGGAUAGCCACUGGAAACGGUGAUUAAUACCGGAUACUCCUUCUUACUCUAAGGUAAGUCGGGAAAGUUUUUUCGCUAAGAGAUCAGUCUAUGUCCUAUCAGCUAGUUGGUGAGGUAAUGGCUCACCAAGGCUAUGACGGGUAUCUGGUUUGAGAGGAUGAUCAGACACACUGGAACUGAGACACGGUCCAGACUCCUACGGGAGGCAGCAGUGAGGAAUAUUGCACAAUGGAGGAAACUCUGAUGCAGCAACGCCGCGUGGAGGAUGACGCAUUUCGGUGUGUAAACUCCUUUUAUAUGUCAAGAAAAUGACGGUAGCAUAUGAAUAAGCACCGGCUAACUCCGU
rnacentral:rRNA from 1 species